GCCGGUGUAGCUCAGCUGAUAGAGCGCCCGACUUGUAAUCGGAUGGUCGGGGGUUUGACUCCCUCCACCGGCA
rnacentral:tRNA from 1 species